GUGAGGAAUAUUGGUCAAUGGGCGGGAGCCUGAACCAGCCAAGUCGCGUGAAGGAAGAAGGAUCUAUGGUUCGUAAACUUCUUUUGCAGGGGAAUAAAGUGCGGGACGUGUCCUGUUUUGUAUGUACCCUGAGAAUAAGGAUCGGCUAACUCCGUGCCAGCAGCCGCGGUAAUACGGAGGAUCCGAGCGUUAUCCGGAUUUAUUGGGUUUAAAGGGUGCGUAGGUGGUUUGAUAAGUCAGCGGUGAAAGUUUGCAGCUUAACUGUAAAAAUGCCGUUGAAACUGUCGGACUUGAGUGUAAAUGAGGUAGGCGGAAUGUGUGGUGUAGCGGUGAAAUGCAUAGAUAUCACGCAGAACUCCGAUUGCGAAGGCAGCUUACUAAGCUACAACUGACACUGAAGCACGAAAGCGUGGGGAUCAAACAGGAUUAGAAACUCCUGUAGUCC
rnacentral:rRNA from 1 species